CCUAGUAACGGCGAGUGAAGCGGCAACAGCUCAAAUUUGAAAUCUGGCUUCGGCCCGAGUUGUAAUUUGCAGAGGAAGCUUUAGGCGCGGCACCUCCUGAGUCCCCUGGAACGGGGCGCCACAGAGGGUGAGAGCCCCGUAUAGUUGGAUGCCUAGCCUGUGUAAAGCUCCUUCGACGAGUCGAGUAGUUUGGGAAUGCUGCUCAAAAUGGGAGGUAAAUUUCUUCUAAAGCUAAAUACCGGCCAGAGACCGAUAGCGCACAAGUAGAGUGAUCGAAAGAUGAAAAGCACUUUGAAAAGAGGGUUAAAUAGCACGUGAAAUUGUUGAAAGGGAAGCGCUUGUGACCAGACUUGCGCCGGGCUGAUCAUCCGGUGUUCUCACCGGUGCACUCUGCCCGGCUCAGGCCAGCAUCGGUUCUCGCGGGGGGAUAAAGGCCCUGGGAACGUAGCUCCUCCGGGAGUGUUAUAGCCCGGGGCGCAAUGCCCUCGCGGGGACCGAGGUUCGCGCUCUGCAAGGAUGCUGGCGUAAUGGUCAUCAGCGACCCGUCUUGAAACACGGACCAAGGAGUCAAGGUUUUGCGCGAGUGUUUGGGUGUAAAACCCGCACGCGUAAUGAAAGUGAACGUAGGUGAGAGCUUCGGCGCAUCAUCGACCGAUCCUGAUGUUCUCGGAUGGAUUUGAGUAGGAGCGUUAAGCCUUGGACCCGAAAGAUGGUGAACUAUGCUUGGAUAGGGUGAAGCCAGAGGAAACUCUGGUGGAGGCUCGCAGCGGUUCUGACGUGCAAAUCGAUCGUCAAAUCUGAGCAUGGGGCGAAAGACUAAUCGA
rnacentral:rRNA from 1 species